rnacentral:misc_RNA from 1 species
CCGUUGCCCGGCCGUCCAUCGGCGCGAGGGAGUGCACCAUCGCGGGCGACAGCCCGAAGCUGAUGCGCGCCGGGGUGCUGGACAGCAGAAUGUCGAACUGGCGCACGAUGGCGGUCCGUGUCUGUGUCGGCAGCGUCGUCUCGAUGUGCUCGAUAGAGUCUCUGAGCCGCGCGUCUCCGAUCUUCGGCAGGAUGACGCGCGUGCGGAAGUCG